rnacentral:rRNA from 1 species
AUUGAACGCUGGCGGCAGGCUUAACACAUGCAAGUCGAACGAUGAUUAUCUAGCUUGCUAGAUAUGAUUAGUGGCGGACGGGUGAGUAACAUUUAGGAAUCUGCCUAGUAGUGGGGGAUAGCUCGGGGAAACUCGAAUUAAUACCGCAUACGACCUACGGGUGAAAGGGGGCGCAAGCUCUUGCUAUUAGAUGAGCCUAAAUCAGAUUAGCUAGUUGGUGGGGUAAAGGCCCACCAAGGCGACGAUCUGUAACUGGUCUGAGAGGAUGAUCAGUCACACCGGAACUGAGACACGGUCCGGACUCCUACGGGAGGCAGCAGUGGGGAAUAUUGGACAAUGGGGGCAACCCUGAUCCAGCCAUGCCGCGUGUGUGAAGAAGGCCUUUUGGUUGUAAAGCACUUUAAGCAGGGAGGAGAGGCUAAUGGUUAAUACCCAUUAGAUUAGACGUUACCUGCAGAAUAAGCACCGGCUAACUCUGUGCCAGCAGCCGCGGUAAUACAGAGGGUGCGAGCGUUAAUCGGAAUUACUGGGCGUAAAGCGAGUGUAGGUGGCUCAUUAAGUCACAUGUGAAAUCCCCGGGCUUAACCUGGGAACUGCAUGUGAUACUGGUGGUGCUAGAAUAUGUGGGAGGGAAGUAGAAUUCCAGGUGUAGCGGUGAAAUGCGUAGAGAUCUGGAGGAAUACCGAUGGCGAAGGCAGCUUCCUGGCAUAAUAUUGACACUGAGAUUCGAAAGCGUGGGUAGCAAACAGGAUUAGAUACCCUGGUAGUCCACGCCGUAAACGAUGUCUACUAGCCGUUGGGGUCCUUGAGACUUUAGUGGCGCAGUUAACGCGAUAAGUAGACCGCCUGGGGAGUACGGCCGCAAGGUUAAAACUCAAAUGAAUUGACGGGGGCCCGCACAAGCGGUGGAGCAUGUGGUUUAAUUCGAUGCAACGCGAAGAACCUUACCUGGUCUUGACAUAGUGAGAAUCCUGCAGAGAUGCGGGAGUGCCUUCGGGAAUUCACAUACAGGUGCUGCAUGGCUGUCGUCAGCUCGUGUCGUGAGAUGUUGGGUUAAGUCCCGCAACGAGCGCAACCCUUUUCCUUAUUUGCCAGCGGGUUAAGCCGGGAACUUUAAGGAUACUGCCAGUGACAAACUGGAGGAAGGCGGGGACGACGUCAAGUCAUCAUGGCCCUUACGACCAGGGCUACACACGUGCUACAAUGGUAGGUACAGAGGGUUGCUACACAGCGAUGUGAUGCUAAUCUCAAAAAGCCUAUCGUAGUCCGGAUUGGAGUCUGCAACUCGACUCCAUGAAGUCGGAAUCGCUAGUAAUCGCAGAUCAGAAUGCUGCGGUGAGUACGUUCCCGGGCCU